rnacentral:rRNA from 1 species
GAGCGUUGACGUUACCUGCAGAAGAAGCACUGGCUAACUCUGUGCCAGCAGCCGCGGUAAUACAGAGAGUGCAAGCGUUAAUCGGAAUCACUGGGCGUAAAGCGCGCGUAGGUGGAUAUUUAAGUCGGAUGUGAAAGCCCUGGGCUUAACCUGGGAAUUGCACCCGAUACUGGAUAUCUCGAGUAUGGUAGAGGGAAGUGGAAUUUCCGGUGUAGCGGUGAAAUGCGUAGAUAUCGGAAAGAACACCAGUGGCGAAGGCGGCUUCCUGGACCAAUACUGACACUGAGGCGCGAAAGCGUGGGGAGCAAACAGGAUUAGAGACCCUGGUAGUCCACGCCGUCAACGAUGAGAACUAGCUGUUGGAGAGUUUACUUUCUAGUAGCGAAGCUAACGCGUUAAGUUCUCCGCCUGGGGAGUACGGCCGCAAGGUUAAAACUCAAAGAAAUUGACGGGGGCCCGCACAA